AUGCACAGCGAGGGCGACCAGCUGCUGGCGGCCGAGCACCCCGGGAGGAACUCCAUUGAGGCACACAUGGAGGCUGUGCACGCUGACUAGAAGGAGUACCUGAACCUGCUCAUCUGUGAGGAGAGCCACCUCAAGUACAUGGAGGACUACCACCAGUUCCACGAAGACAUGAAGGACGCUCAGGAGCUGCUGCGCAAGGUGGACUCGGACCUAAACCAGAAAUACAGCCCUGACUUCAAGGACCGGUACCAGAUUGAGCUGCUAUUGAGGGAGGGAGCUGGAUGACCAGGAGAAGGUGCUGGACAAGUAUGAGGACGUGGUGCAGGGGCUGCAGAAGCGAGGCCAACAGGUGGUGCCCCUCAGGUACCGCUGGGAGACGCCGCUCAAGGCCAUCCCCGUGGAGGCACUCUGUGACUUCGAGGGGGAGCAGGGCCUGAUAUCGUGGGGCUACAGCUACACCCUGCAGAAGAACAAUGGGGAGAGCUGGGAGCUCACAGACAGCGCGGGGAACAAGCUGAUCGCUCCUGCCGUCUGCUUUGUGAUCCCCCCCACAGACCCCGAGGCCCUGGCUCUGGCUGACAGCCUAGGCAGCCAGUACCAGAGCGUGAGGCAGAAGGCAGCUGGGAGCAAACACACGCUGCAGCAUCGAUAUGAGAUGCUGAAGACCAAGAACCCUGGAGAUGCCUCUGACCUCCAGGGGCACCAGCUGCUGGCUGGCUUGGACAAGGUGGCCAGCGACCUGGACCGGCAGGAGAAGGCCAUCAUGGGGAUCCUGAGACCACCGCUGGAGCAAGGCCGGGCUGUGCAGGACAGUGCCGAGCGGGCCAAGGACCUCAAGAACAUCACCAACGAGCUGCUACAGAUCGAGCCUGAGAAGACGCGGAGUGUGGCUGAGGGCAAAGCCUUCAUCCAGGCCCUCCCGGGCAGCAGCACCACACCCCUGCUGAGGACCCGGGUGGAGGACACCAACCAGAAAUAUGAGCGCCUGGUGCAGCUGCUGGACUUGGCCGAGGAGAAGGUUGACGUGGCCAACCGCCUGGAGAAGAGCCUGCAGCAGGGCUGGGAGUUGCUGGCCACACAGGAGAACUGUCUGAAUCAGGACAACACCGUCCCUGAGAGCAGCCGUGUCCUGGACAGCAAGGGGCAGGAGCUGGCAGCCCUGGCCUCUGAGUUACAGGCCCAGAAGUCCCUCCUGGGCGAGGUGGAGCGGAAUCUGCAGGCAGCCAAGCAGUGCUCGAGCAUGCUGGCCAGCCACUUCCAGGAGCACUGCCCAGACCUGGAGCACCAGGAGGCCGAAGUUCACAAGCUGGGCCAGCAUUUCGACAACCUGUGCCAGCAGGUGGAGUGUAGGGCACAGAGCCUGCGGAGUGCCAAGGCAGCCUAUGAGGACUACCGCAGUGGCCAUGACCACAUGCUGCAGUUCUUGGCCAGCAUCCCCAGUUACGAGCCCCAGGAGCCAGACAGCCUCAGCCAGAUGGAGACCAAGCUAAAGAACCAGAAGAACCUGCUACAUGAGAUAGCAGGUAGGGAGCAGAAAGUACAGAAGAUCUAUGCCAAUUCCCAGCAGUAUCAGCAAGCUGUAAAGGACUAUGAGUUUGAAGCAGAAACACUAAGGUCCCUUCUUGACUUGGAGAAUGGAAGGAGCAGCCACAUGAACAAGAGAGCCAGGCUCCAAUCUCCCGCUGCCAAAGUGAAAGAAGAGGAAGCAGCUCUUGCUGCCAAGUUCACUGAAGUUUAUGCCAUCAACAAACAGAGGCUGCAGAAUUUAGAGUUUGCUCUGAAUCUCCUUAGACAGCAGCUGGAAGUAGAAGUGACCCAUGAGACCCUGCAGAGGAACAAGCCGGACUCCGGAGUGGAAGAGGCAUGGAAGAUCAGGAAGGAACUGGAUGAGGAGAAGGAGCGGAGGCAGCAGCUGGAGAACGAGAUCAAGAGCACCCAGGAAGAGAUCCGGACCCUGCGGAAUCAGGGGCCUCAGGAAUCGGUGGUGAGGAAGGAGCUGCUCAAGAAAGUGCCAGAUCCCGCACUGGAGGAGAGUUUCCAGCAGCUGCAGAGGACGCUGGCGGAAGAGCAGCACAAGAACCAACUACUGCAGGAGGAGCUGGAGGCACUGCAGCUGAAGCUGCGCGCCCUGGAAUAGGACACAUGGGACGGGGGACAGGAGUAUGUGGUCAAGGAGGUCCUGCGCAUCGAGCCUGACAGGGCCCAGGCAGACGAGGUCUUGCAGCUGCGGGAGGAGCUGGAGGCACUGAGGCGGCAGAAGGGUGCCCGGGAGGCAGAGGUGCUCCUCCUGCAGCAGCGUGUGGCCACCCUGGCCGAGGAGAAGAGCCGGGCACAAAACAAGGUCACCGAGAAAGAGGUGGUUAAACUGCAGAAUGACCCCCAGCUGGAGGCAGAGUACCGACAGCUGCAGGAUGACCACGAGCAGGAACGCCACCUCCGAGAGUAGCAGGAGGAGGAGCUGAGCUUCCUCCAGGACAAGCUCAAGAGGCUGGAGAAGGAGCGGGCCAUGGCCGAGGGCAAGAUCACCGUCAAGGAGGUGCUCAAGGUGGAGAAGGACGCAUCCACCGAGAGGGAGGUCAGCGAUCUCACCCGCCAAUACGAGGAUGAGGCUGCCAAGGCUCGUGCCAGCCAGAGGGAAAAGACCGAGCUGCUCCGGAAGAUAUGGGCCUUGGAGGAGGAGAAUGCCAAAGUGGUGGUGCAGGAGAAGGUGCGUGAGAUCGCGCGGCCAGACCCCAAAGCAGAGAGUGAAGUGGCCAACCUCCGCCUGGAGCUUGUGGAGCAGGAGCGAAAGUACCGGGGGGUGGAGGAGCAGCUCUGGAGCUACCAGAGCGAGCUGCAGACCCUCAGGAGGCGGGGCCCCCAGGUGGAAGUCAAAGACGUGACUAAGGAAGUCAUUAAGUACAAGACUGACCCCAAGAUGGAGAAGGAGCUUCAGGGGCUCAGAGAGGAGAUCGUGGAUAAGACCAGACUGAUCGAAAGGUGUGAUUUAGAGAUCCACCAGCUGAAGCAGGAAAUCCAGGCCCUGAAAGACACCAAACCCCAGGUCCAGAUCAAAGAGGUGGUCCAGGAGAUCCUACAAUUUCAGGAAGACCCUCAAACCAAGGAGGAGGUGGAGUCUCUGAGGGCAAAGCUCUCAGAGGAGCAGAAGAGGCAAGUGGACCUGGAGAGGGAGAGGGCUUCCCAGGAAGAGCAGAUUGCCCGGAAGGAGGAGGAGCUCUCGCAGGUGAAGGAAAGAAUGGUGCAGCAGGAAGUAGUCAGGUACCAGGAGGAGCCUGGCCUGAGGGCCGAGGUGAGCUCCUUCGCCGAGAGCAUCGACGUGGAGCUGCGGCAGAUCGACAAGCUGCGUGCGGAGCUGCGGCGGCUGCAGCGCCGGCGUACCGAGCUCGAGCGGCAGCUGGAGGAGCUGGAGGGUGAGCUGCAGGCCCGCAGGGAGGCAGAGCGCGAGGUGCAGCGGCUGCAGCAGCGGCUGGCACUGCUGGAGCAGGAAGAAGCUGAGGCCGGUGAGAAGGUGACCCACAAGCAGAAGGUAGUGCUGCAGCAGGACCCGAAGCAGGCCCGCAAGCAUGCCCUGCUCCGACUCCAGCUGGAGGAAUAACAGCACCGGCGGCAGCUCCUGGAGGGUGAGCUGGAGACCCUGCGGAGGAAGGUGGCCGCCCUGGAGAAGGCGGAGGUCAAGGAGAAGGUGGUGUUUUCUAAGAGUGUCCAGGCGGAGAAGGGCGACACCAAGCAAGAGAUCCAGAGGCUCAAGAGCAGCCUGGAGGAGGAGAGCCGCAGCAAGCGCGAGCUGGACGCGGAGGUGAGCCGGCUGGAAGCCCGGCUUUCGGAGCUGGAAUUCCAUAACUCCAAGCCGUCCAAGGAACUAGACUUUCUAAGGGAAAAGAACCACAAAUUACAACUGGAGCGGCAAAACCUGCAGCUGGAGACCCGAAGGCUCCAAUCGGAAAUUGAAAUGGCAGCGACGGAAACACGAGACCUGCGGAACAUGGCCGUGGCAGACUCUGGGACUAACCACGACUCUAGACUGUGGUCCCUGGAGAGGGAACUGGACGACCUCAAGAGGCUCUCCAAGGACAAAGACCUCGAGAUCGACGAGCUGCAGAGGCGCCUGGGCUCCGUGGCUGUCAACCGGGAGCAGCGGGAGAACCACCUGCGGCGCUCCGCCGUGGUCAUCCACCCCGACACGGGCCACGAGCUGUCUCCGGAGGAAGCCCACCGCGCCGGGCUCAUUGACUGGAGCAUGCUUGUGAAACUCAAAAGCCAGGAGUGUGACUGGGAGGAGAUCUCAGUGAAGGGGCCCAACGGGGAGUCCUCAGUGAUACACGACAGGAAGUCUGGCAAGUUCUCCAUCGAAGAGGCCCUGCAGAGUGGCAGGUUGACCCCUGCUCAGUACGACGGUUAUGUCAACAAGGAUAUGUCCAUCCAGGAGCUGGCGGUCUUGGUGUCUGGGCAGAAGUAGGCACAGCCCUUGCAACUCUUCUUAGCGGCAGAUGCUGGCCCUCUCUUACGACACAGUGACCCCCUUGUGUCGUCCUCUCCCUGGCCCUGUG